CCGCUCUUGGAUUUGUUCUUGUUGGGGCAGUCAGCGGCAAAGUGGCCUGGCUUGCCACAUUCAAAGUAGGUGUUGUUGUUCCUUCACCUGUUCUUGCGGUUGUCAUUGAAGCGUGUGAACCGCCGUGUGAUCAAGGCGAGCUCAUCAUCAUGAAGAAUCUCCAACUGCUCCUCUGAAAUAGAAACCAAGGAAGACAAGGCCAACGACAUAGAAGAAGAGUUCCCCAAAGACUUAG
rnacentral:lncRNA from 1 species